rnacentral:pre_miRNA from 1 species
AUUAAGGGGCUUGGAUGAACGGUGCGUUUACUUGUGGUUAGCGUAAAAACAGCGGUGAUGGUGGGAUUAAAUAUUGUAGCGACACUGUAGGGUGAGAUAAAAAAAUAAGCUAAACGCACCGCCCGCCCAAACCCACCCUA